rnacentral:rRNA from 1 species
UACGGGGGGAGCAAGCGUUGUUCGGAUUUACUGGGCGUAAAGGGCGCGUAGGCGGUCAGCACAAGUCAGUUGUGAAAUCUCCGAGCUUAACUCGGAACGGUCAACUGAUACUGUGCGGCUAGAGUGCGGAAGGGGCAACUGGAAUUCUUGGUGUAGCGGUGAAAUGCGUAGAUAUCAAGAGGAACACCUGCGGCGAAGGCGGGUUGCUGGGCCGACACUGACGCUGAGGCGCGAAAGCUAGGGGAGCGAACGGG